AAGGAAAUAAAAAGUAAAAUAAAAGAUCAUAAUAACAACGAAUUCUCAAAAUUCAUAGAUUAACACUCUCUGCACAUGAGAAUACCGAUUAUUCCCUAUCGAAAGCCAUGAACAAAAUGAAGAAACCAGUAAAACUAUUCUCAGCAAUCAGAAAAACAGACAACACAUGGGCCAGAAACAACGAAGAGCAAGUCGAAGAAUUAUCCAACCACCUUUGUAACGCAUUUACACAUAAUAUUAACAACAGUACCACCAAUUGUCAUACAGACAUAGAUGUGCAAAAUACUAGUACCUCAACUGACAAGCACUAUACCAUACCUGGUACAACUGCUCAAGAAGUUAGAAAUAUAAUCAAGAAAACAAGAAACAAUAAAGCACCAAGAAUCGACCUAAUCAAUGGUAAAAUCUUGAAAUGACAAUAAUAUGCAAUACAAUUUUAAGAAUUCAAUAUUUUUCUACUCUAUUGAAACCAGUACAGAUCAUAAUGCUACCUAAGCCAGGCAAACACCCACAGCAAACUGCACCUUACAGACCAAUAUCACUACUUCAUGUGUUUUGCAAAAUACUAGAGAAAAUAUUAUAUGAUCGCCUGAAAUCAACGAUAGAGGAAGAAAAAUUAAUGCCAGAUCGCCAAUUUGGAUUCAGAAACAAACACUCCACCACGGAGCAAAUGCACAAGCUUGUCAAUGAAAUUUUACUAGCAAUAAAAAAGAAACAAUACUGUACAGUCCUCUUCAUGGACAUUGUGAAAGCAUCUGGCAAAGUGAAUCAUGAAAGCCUCUUACAAACAAUCAAAAACAUUUCCCAGAACAAAUCUACCACUUACUCAAAUCGUAUCUAAGCAAUAGAACCUUUGUAGUAAAAAUAAAGGACACAUAUUCUGCGGUUAAAGACAUUAAGGCUGGGGUACUGCAAGGAAGCGUCUUAGGACCAAUAUUACAUACAAAACCCAUAUCAAAGGAAGGCUAAGAAGAAAACAUCCCACCGACCUGGUUAAAGAAAUAUAAUAGGCAAGCCGUAAGCUUUACUUAAAAUCGUACUUACACAUCUAUUUAAUCAAUCUUAAAAUACAAAUAUUAUAUGUUUAUAUUCUUAUAUAUUCGCGGGAGGAUGUGCGCAGGUACCAUGUUGUCCUGCUGAAUUGUAGCCAAUCAACGAACAGUGUUGUAAGCAAUUCGAAAUAAUAACGGUUGACCGACACGAGGCUCCGCACAGUCGGUCUGUGGAUUCGCACGUGGUGAUAUGUUCGUCGUGUUAAAUAAUGUCUACAAUGUGGAUAUAUAUCAGUUAGUAAUGAAUGCUAAACAAAGAAUUACAGAGUUAAUCUGUUAAAUUUUGAUAGAAGAAAAUAUAUAAAUACAAAAGAUGCAACACUUGAUCGAUCAUUGUUUUAUUUAAGAAUAAAUAAAGGUAGCACCCAUGUAUAGAUGUAUAUAUAGAUUAUUAUGGAAUCCGAGGAUUGAACUGCGAAGAUUGUUUCAAAUGUAUUCCAGCAAGAGUUAAUUAUAUCCAUAUUGGUCAUAUGUCACUGUUACAUUUCAUAAAUUAAAUUGGUCUUCAAAGUCUCUGGAUCUCCAAAACCUUGUGCAUGGAUUUCGUGUUAUUCAAAUAAACCUAUUCUCCUGUAAGGUAAAUCAUUAUAAAUCUUCUCUUAUGUUGGUAUGGUGAGUCUCUUUUUAUUAUCUUUAUUACGAAAUGUAUGUAAUCAUGCGUUCUCCUUUUUAUUAUGACGGAUUUAAAUGAUGUACUGCAUGCCUUUACCAACGAAUGCUUACAAAU